rnacentral:rRNA from 1 species
CACGUAGGAGGCGAGCGUUGUCCGGAAUCAUUGGGCGUAAAGAGCGCGCAGGCGGCUUGGCAAGUCGGGUGUGAAAUCCCGGGGCUCAACCCCGGGACUGCAUUCAAUACUGUCAGGCUAGAGGUAGGUAGGGGAGAUCGGAAUUCCUGGUGUAGCGGUGAAAUGCGCAGAUAUCAGGAGGAACACCGGUGGCGAAGGCGGAUCUCUGGGCCUUACCUGACGCUCAGGCGCGAAAGCUAGGGGAGCGAACAGG